CAUACCCGAUUUGAAGAAUUGAAUGCUGACUUGUUUCAUGGCACCCUGGACCCUGUAGAGAAAGUCCUCCAAGAUGCCAAACUAGAAAAUUUACAGAUCCAUGAUAUUGUCCUGGUAGGUGGUUCUACUCAUAUCUCCAAGAUUUAGAAGCUUCUACAAGACUUCUUCAAUGGAAAAUAACAGACUAAGAGCAUCAAUCCUGAUGAGGCUGUUGCUUAUGGUGCAGUUGUCCAGGUAGUCAUCUUAUCUGGAGACAAAUCUGAACAUGUGCAAGAUUUGCUACUGUUGGAUGUCACUUCUGGUGGAGUCAUGACUAUCCUCAUUAAACGCUAUACUACCAUUCCUACCAAGCAGACACAGACCUUCACUACCUAUUCUGACAAUCAGCCUGGUUUGCUCAUUCAGGUUUAUGAAGGUGAGCAUGUCAUGACCAAGGAUAACAAUCUGCUUGGCAAGUUUGAACUCACAGGCAUACCUCCUGCACCCUGUGGUGUUCCUCAAAUUGAAAUCACUUUUGAUAUUGAUGCCGAUGGCAUUCUCAAUGUCUCUGCUGUAGAUAAGAGUAAAGGAAAAGAGAAUAAAAUCACUAUCACUAAUGGCAAGGGUUGUUUGAGCAAGGAAGACAUUGAGUGUAUGGUCCAGGAGGCUGAAAAGUACAAAGCUGAAGAUGAGAAGCACAGGGACAAAGUAUCAUCCAUAAUUUCACUUGAAUCCUAUGCAUUCAACAUGAAGGCAACUGUUGAAGAUGAGAAA